rnacentral:rRNA from 1 species
UACAGAGGGUGCGAGCGUUAAUCGGAAUUACUGGGCGUAAAGCGCGCGUAGGCGGCUGCGCAAGUCGGGUGUGAAACCCCGGGGCUCAACCCCGGAACUGCAUCCGAUACUGCGUGGCUAGAGGUAGGUAGGGGAGAUCGGAAUUCCUGGUGUAGCGGUGAAAUGCGCAGAUAUCAGGAGGAACACCGGUGGCGAAGGCGGAUCUCUGGGCCUUACCUGACGCUCAGGCACGAAAGCUAGGGGAGCGAACAGG